rnacentral:rRNA from 1 species
AGCAGCUGCGGUAAUUCCAGCUCCAAUAGCGUAUAUUAAAGUUGUUGCAGUUAAAAAGCUCGUAGUUGAAUUUCGGGAUUGACGUGAUGGUCAUGCCUUAAGGGGUAUGAACUGUUACUGUUGAUUUCUCACCUUCUGGAGAAACUUGAUGUCCUUUAUUGGGUGUCUUGCGGAUCCAGGACCUUUACCUUGAAAAAAUUAGAGUGUUUAAAGCAGGCAUUUUUGCUCGAAUACAUUAGCAUGGAAUAAUAGAAUAGGACGGCAUGGUUCUAUUUUGUUGGUUUCUAGGAUCACCGUAAUGAUUAAUAGGGAUAGUUGGGGGCAUUAGUAUUCAAUUGUCAGAGGUGAAAUUCUUGGAUUUAUUGAAGACUAACUACUGCGAAAGCAUUUGCCAAGGAUGUUUUCAUUAAUCAAGAACGAAAGUUAGGGGAUCGAAGACGAUCAGAUACCGUCGUAGUCUUAACCAUAAACCUAUGACCGACUAGGAAUCAGACGAUGUUAAUUUUUAAUGUACUCGUUU